GAUGAACGCUGGCGGCGUGCCUAAUACAUGCAAGUCGAGCGAACAGACGAGGAGCUUGCUCCUCUGACGUUAGCGGCGGACGGGUGAGUAACACGUGGAUAACCUACCUAUAAGACUGGGAUAACUUCGGGAAACCGGAGCUAAUACCGGAUAAUAUAUUGAACCGCAUGGUUCAAUAGUGAAAGACGGUUUUGCUGUCACUUAUAGAUGGAUCCGCGCCGCAUUAGCUAGUUGGUAAGGUAACGGCUUACCAAGGCGACGAUGCGUAGCCGACCUGAGAGGAUGAUCGGCGACACUGGAACUGAGACACGGUCCAGACUCCUACGGGAGGCAGCAGUAGGGAAUCUUCCGCAAUGGGCGAAAGCCUGACGGAGCAACGCCGCGUGAGUGAUGAAGGUCUUCGGAUCGUAAAACUCUGUUAUUAGGGAAGAACAAAUGUGUAAGUAACUAUGCACGUCUUGACGGUACCUAAUCAGAAAGCCACGGCUAACUACGUG
rnacentral:rRNA from 1 species